ACCUUGAAUAAUUGCCUAAGUUGAAAAUAUGAGACUAAAGUCAGUGCAGGUUCAAGUGUGAAUAUAAAAAAUGGACUACUGUUUAAUCUGAUCUGCGGAAAAAAUGUGGCACAUGCUUAGCUUGUUCACAGCAGGUCAUUAAAUACUGGGAUUUUUGCCUUUCAUAUUUAAAAUCUGUUUGAAGAACAGUUAGUAAUAAUGUUGCUUCAAGUCAGCUUUAGGAAAAUUACAGAGAAAAAUCAAAAAUUAGUUGCAUUAAGUACCAACCCAUGAGCUCAGAAAAUGUGACUAAUUUCUACCAAAAUCUUCUUAUCACCAUAGAAACCUUUAAAAUUACAGGAAAGACACCAAACUGCAUGAGGUAAAGACAAACACAAGCUAAAUGACACGAUGUCGACGAGCACUUUAACCCAAUUAGAUCAGUGCUGUUAUUAUCUGAAGAGGCUACUCUAACCGGAGUCAACUAAAACUCAUUAAACGAGCACCAGAUCGCCGUGGGGCUAAGUUCAAAAUGAGCAGCUACUCUGUGCGUGCUUGGGAUCACUGCAGAAAUCGGGGAUCUGGGGCCAGGCUGAGCCUGGGCCUGGCCUGGCUGAACUCUGCCUGCCGCAGUAAGCAAUAGACUUGGAAUGGACUUCAGCAAGAAACUGGAAACAAUAGAUAACAGAGAAAAGUCCACAACCACAAAAAAGUACAGGCAAUUGAAAUAAUUAAAUGGUGAAGAAAAAGAUACAAGAAAACCAAGUGUGGGAACAUGUACAUAGAUUGCCAACUUGCCUUUGUGGAAGAGACGUGAGAUGGACAGGAAAAGUAAUCUAUGAACUAUGGACUCUAAAAGAGAUAAGAGAUUUUUCUGCCUCUUCAAGAAGAACUAGAAAACCAGAAGAUACCUGCUUCAAUUCUGAAACCAUCUUCAUUUGUCUUAGUCCAUAGAUACCUUUGCUUAACUAUUUGUUAACGUAUCCAGAAAGAUCUAAGGUGUAUACUGCACACAGAGUUGUGUCGUGUAGAUAAUUAACUAGUUACUUGACCAAGAAAUGUUUUUGUGUGUGACUUGGGGAGAAAAAAAAAGUUAGACUUCGUUCUAUUUUAAUGCAAAAGUCCUUUUUGGAUUCUGUGCUGCUUAUGAGCACUUUCAUCUCUGAAUUUGUGCAAGGCUGUAUAUUGUUUUGCAGUAAAGAAACAAGCAAAGAACAGAUCAGAAUUUAUAAAAGUGAGAUUAGGAAUAUGUUGCAAUUUACUUAUUUUUAUUAGCUUUUGGUCAUUACAUGUUGCAUUUUCUUUUUAAGUAUCUGGCAUGUUUUUCAGCUUAACCUUUUCUAUUUGUCUUUUUUUUUUUUAACUGAAAUGUGUGUGUUUAGUUCAAAUAAAAAAGGCACUUAGUAUAGACUUUCUUUGGUC
rnacentral:lncRNA from 1 species